GACGAACGCUGGCGGCGUGCUUAACACAUGCAAGUCGAGCGGUAAGGCCCUUUCGGGGGUACACGAGCGGCGAACGGGUGAGUAACACGUGGGUGACCUGCCCUCAGCUCUGGGAUAAGCCUGGGAAACCGGGUCGUAAUACUGGAUAUGACUCCAUGACGCAUAGUUGUGGGGUGGAAAGCCUUGUGCGGCUGAGGAUGGGCCCGCGGCCUAUCAGCUUGUUGGUGGGGUGAUGGCCUACCAAGGCGACGACGGGUAGCCGGCCUGAGA
rnacentral:rRNA from 1 species